GUAGGUGGCAAGCGUUGUCCGGAAUUAUUGGGGCGUAAAGCGCGCGCAGGCGGUUCUUUAAGUCUGAUGUGAAAGCCCACGGGCUCAACCGUGGAGGGUCAUUGGAAACUGGAGAACUUGAGUACAGAAGAGGAAAGCGGAAUUCCACGUGUAGCGGUGAAAUGCGUAGAGAUGUGGAGGAACACCAGUGGCGAAGGCGGCUUCCUGGUCUGUAACUGACGCUGAGGCGCGAAAGCGUGGGGAGCGAACAGGAUUAGAUACCCUGGUAGUCCACGCCGUAAACGAUGAGUGCUAAGUGUUAGGGGGUUUCCGCCCCUUAGUGCUGCAGCUAACGCAUUAAGCACUCCGCCUGGGGAGUACGGCCGCAAAGGCUG
rnacentral:rRNA from 1 species